rnacentral:lncRNA from 1 species
AUGGAAGGUAUUUCUCAAGGAACCAUGACUUUUCCUCAGGGAACCCUAAGUAAGUUAUUUAUCUGUCUUAACUCUAUUAUCCUAACAGGGUCUGCCUUAUUUGUUUCUAUUUCUAGGCAAAAUAAGAACAAAAUUCAUUUUCUCUUGCUUUCCAUCACCCAGCAUUGCACUGUUACUGUAAAUCCUGUGGAAAAAAUGGAAACUCGAUUGAUUAACAUAUAAAGGAAAGAACCAGUAAAAAUAUAUGUAUAUAAACCUUUGAACAUAUAUUAAUAUAUUAUGUAUGUUUUAUAUAUACAUUUUUGUUACACAUACAUGAACCAGUAAAUAUAUAUUAUUUACAUGUAAAUAUAUUGGCACAGUGGAUAGAAUACUGGGCUAGAAGUCAGGAAGACCUGAAUUCAAGCCUAAUCUCAGAUAUUUAUUAAAUGUGUCCCUGAGUAAAUCAUUUUAAUUCUGUUUACCUCAGUUUCCUCAUCUGU